UAACAAAAGAUGUAGAGAAAAUCAUUUCUCAUGAGAGAUAGAAAAUAUAGAGAUGAUCUUAGAACCUACAACGAGGUGAUGUGAGAUAUCGACUCCAAGAAAAGAUAUGAAAUAGCUUUCCUGAGUAGAGAUCUUUUGAAGAUUUUUAUAUGAAAUAGCCUACGAAUUUCACUUCUUAUGAUAGGUGAUCACAAAGACCACAAUACCCUU
rnacentral:lncRNA from 1 species